UGCACGGACUCUCACCGGAGGCAUGAACUGCUGCACGUCUUCCGGCCCCGCUGAGGCGAUCGCUACUUUCUCUGAAUUCCCGGCCAUGACUGGAGCCGAACACCUGAGGAUCCCAGUGUGAGAUCAUACUGACAUACCUGAAAGUCGUAUGGCUGCGGCGAACACCAGUGUCUCAGAAAGAAGCCAAUGGAGGAGCCAAGAUCACAGAUGCCUUUUUGACAGCUACAGGAGGAGGUCCCAUAAUCCACUGAAGUCUCCGGAUCCAUGUCCCCUUCUCGUUUCGCUCCAAAUGGCGGGACGAGGCGGGGGCUCGCAUUGGAACGUGAGAAACCGAACGGAUGCAACAAAGGAUUCCGAGGCAGUAAGCAGAUAGCACUGACGGCCGCUUG